GACGAACGCUGGCGGCGUGCUUAACACAUGCAAGUCGAACGGAAAGGCCCUGCUUUUGUGGGGUGCUCGAGUGGCGAACGGGUGAGUAACACGUGAGUAACCUGCCCUUGACUUUGGGAUAACUUCAGGAAACUGGGGCUAAUACCGGAUAGGAGCUCCUGCUGCAUGGUGGGGGUUGGAAAGUUUCGGCGGUUGGGGAUGGACUCGCGGCUUAUCAGCUUGUUUGUGGGGUAGUGGCUUACCAAGGCAUUGACGGGUAGCCGGCCUGAGAGGGUGACCGGCCACCUUGGGGAUGAGGUUAGGGCCCGGCUCCUAACGGAGGGAAGAGGGGGGAAUAUUGGAACAAGGGCGGAAGCCUGAUGCAGCAACGCCGCGUGCGGGAUGACGGCCUUCGGGUUGUAAACCGCUUUCGCCUGUGACGAAGCGUGAGUGACGGUAAUGGGUAAAGAAGCACCGGCUAACUACGUG
rnacentral:rRNA from 1 species